UCUCAUUCAUUUAAUGAGACAAUAUUUUAAAAAUGUAAAUUCCAGAAUAAACUCAGUGAUAAACUACAAGCGACACCUGAAAUUUAAAAAUUCCAUGUGAGCAGCCUAACACACAUAAUUAAAUAUGUGUUAGCCAGUAAAUGUGAGCUGAGUUUCCUAAAAGUUUUAAAGGUUUUCAAAUUACAGAGCAAAUCUCUGUCUACCAAUGAUAGUGUUACCAUGCUUCUGGGAAACCUGCCCAAAUAAUUUAGAUCUGACUACACACACUUUUGAACUGUAGGUGUUAAAGUAUUGAUAUUUGAUAAAAGGUUACAGAUCACUCAUGAUUCAUGUACUUCAGUUCAUAAAUUACCAGAAAUAGAGCAACUGUCUAUAAACAACUGUAUUUUUAUUCCUAGUACAUUUUAUAUAAUAGAGUGGCAGAAAUUCCAGAAUUUUAAUGUCAGUCAUAAUGUAUUGUAAUGUGUUGUGAUAGACAACAAGUUGCUCUGAAGACAUCGUAAACCCACCUGUAUCUAAGCAGACAGUUAAUAAAAAAGUUAAAGUACUGGAAUAUAACCCUUUUAUAUUACUGCCUAAGCAUUAAGGCAAUUGUUAUGCUGUUUUUAUGCUGUUGUCCUGAGUGUGUAUAGGUAAGAUCGCCACUACAGCACAAUCGACAGGUAACUUUGCUAAGAGUCAGAAGAUGUAGUGCAUUUAACAUGUUGACAGUAAGAGGAAUUUAGGCACCGUUUACAGAUGUGAAUAUACAGAGACAGAGAGAGUGUGUGUGUUUGGAAGGAAGAGCAAAGCAGUGCAAGAAACAAGCUCAAGCAGAGCAGGGUGGAGACUGUGAGGUGCAAAACCGUUAAACAGACAAAAUGACAUGGCUCAGGUCAGAGGAAUUCAGAGGUGAUCCAGAUCCAGAUGAGUCUUCACUGGACAUCUCCAUAAGCAGCCUAUUUUUCACACUCACUUCAUUGCGAUGACUUCAUAUGAGCGGGGUUCUGGUUUCGUCUGUUAGUCUUUGUUCAGUAGAGGUGUGUCAUCUGCAGGGGCUUCACUGGCAACAACUUGUGCAAAGCUCCUACAAUACCGACUUGGUUGCUGUUUGAGCUGCUGAGUCAUGUGUAGUAGGACGCACCUCUUAUCUCCAGUCAGCCAGGAGGACUUUCACAGGCAGUUGGUCUGUGUUAGUGAGGAAACAUGGAUGAUAUUGGCCUGCUGCUGCAGGAUUACCUGCUCUGGUAUGCUGGUAUGGAGGUGUGGUGUAGGUCCACUCCAUAGGCCAGAGGCCAGGCAGAGGGAAUUCAAACAGGGGGCAUGACUCAGCAAACUGUACCCCAUCUCCAAUCAACACUGCCAGAACUGAACAAGGGCUUCUAAACCAGAGAGAUACCAACAAAUCCCACUGACUCAGCAUAAAUGACUGUGUCUGAAAGGUCAGGAGCAUGGGAGGAUAUAAGGACAUGUCAUAACUUCACAUACAAACAACAUUUAUUCUACAUGUACACUUAAUAGAACAACAGAUACACAAGAGUGACUAGUCUAUUCACUCCUUUUUUAUGUGCGGGAAAAAGUCUGACCCAAAAGAUAUCAUUUCUAUGUUAUAAUGAAACAAAUCAGUCAAAAACUCCAGACUAGAAUCUAUCAUCCCAAAAAUGACUCAAAAUCUCUUUGAAUAUUUAAGAAGCCACACCAAGCAAUUUCCUUGCCAAUAGUCCAAUAAAUGUUGUUCAAAGUGUUCAAACAAAUAAUGGAUUGGAUGGUAUUAUUAUAAUUAUUAUUAGUAGUAGUAGUAAUAGUAGUAGUAUAACUAAACCCUAGUUCACUGUAGCAAAAACAAUAUAGUUGGCCUUUUACAAAGUCACUAUAUGCUAUUGUGUAAAACUGGGUUUAUAAAAUGUAUUUGCUUCUGAAAAUGUAUGAAUUACAGUAUACAAACUGUAUUGAAACACGCACAUAUAAGUUAACCAUAACACCUCACCAGAUUCACCACAUUCACUGCAGUUAAAACUCGUUAGCUCAAUUAAAUGAGUACCAAUUACGGAUAGACUGAUAGAAGUGAGCAGUCCAUUGUUAUUUCAUGGAUCUUUAAACAGCCCAUAUUUUAGACACUUAAACAACUUGUAAUCCAUAAUUGAUUUAGAUGCAUAAGUUUGAAGUGUUCAAGAUUGGUAAUCACGUUAAUAGUCAAAUUUAUUUAAAAUCUCAAUCUGGAGCUUCACAUUCUUUGGGAGCACAUUAUGCAGCAAGAUGUCAGAGUAAAUUAAAUUUCCUUGUGCACACUAAAGUGUCAAUUUCCUUAUGGUAAUCAUCUGCUGGAAUGGAUGUGUCAGUAGAAGGAGUCAGGCAUGCCUGACAUUUACCCUCUUUAUGGAGAAAUGACAGGAAAAAAAAAUCAAGGGGAGGCAGAGAAAUUAAUCUUUCGCACGAGUGAGUAUGGAAAAGUGCCUAAAAGACUGUUGAAGAAUCAGCCGUUAUGUUUGUGACCCCAACAUGAAAAUUAAGCCAGUGAUAGCAAGUAAACCAAGAAGGAUGAGAGGGCGCAUAGGCUGAGGAUACCGGAGGAAGAGAACUACACAUACACAGCUAUUGGGGAGGUAAAUUUUUUUUUUAUGUGAAUGAUGCUGCACAAUAAUAUCAUGGCCCAAGAAACAAAAUCAGGUGUGCUAGGUCACCGAGUAAGACACUGACAAGCUUCAGUUGAAUUAGUAUUUCUAAGAGUACUAAUACCAUGCUGCAAAUUAUCUUUUAUUGUACAAUACUGUUGUAUCAGAGCAUAAUCAUUAUAUGGUUCCUUCUAACUGUUUGGCUGCUUUUGUGGUUUUUUGUUGUUGGUUUUUUUAACAAAAUGAGUUGGAAUUAUGAAUAUAUGUACAGAUAGCAUCCCAAUCUAGCACACUUUAGCAUAGUCUUAAGAUCAGACAAAGCAUGAAUGAAUGAAGAAUAAAUUAAUAUGUUACGGGACACCGAACAUAAGCAUGAAGUUAA